AUUGAACGCUGGCGGAAUGCUUUACACAUGCAAGUCGAGCGGCAGCGCGGGGCAACCUGGCGGCGAGCGGCGAACGGGUGAGUAAUACAUCGGAACGUGCCCAGACGUGGGGGAUAACUACUCGAAAGAGUAGCUAAUACCGCAUAUGAUCUAAGGAUGAAAGCGGGGGAUCGCAAGACCUCGCGCGUUUGGAGCGGCCGAUGGCAGAUUAGGUAGUUGGUGGGGUAAAGGCUUACCAAGCCUGCGAUCUGUAGCUGGUCUGAGAGGACGACCAGCCACACUGGGACCGAGACACGGCCCAGACUCCUACGGGAGGCAGCAGUGGGGAAUUUUGGACAAUGGGCGAAAGCCUGAUCCAGCCAUUCCGCGUGCAGGAUGAAGGCCUUCGGGUUGUAAACUGCUUUGUACAGAACGAAAAGACUCUAGUUAAUACCUGGAGUCCAUGACGGUACUGUAAGAAUAAGCACCGGCUAACUACGUGCCAGCAGCCGUA
rnacentral:rRNA from 1 species